rnacentral:rRNA from 1 species
AUUGAACGCUGGCGGCAGGCCUAACACCUGCAAGUCGAACGAGUGGCGGACGGGUGAGUAAUGUCUGGGAAACUGCCCGAUGGAGGGGGAUAACUACUGGAAACGGUAGCUAAUACCGCAUACCAUCGGAUGUGCCCAGAUGGGUUUAGCUAGUGGGUGGGUUAAUGGCUCACCUAGGCGACGUUCCCUAGCUGGUCUGAGAGGAUGACCAGCCAGAAUGGAACGGAGACACGGUCCAGACUCCUACGGGAGGCAGCAGUGGGGAAUAUUGCACAAUGGGCGCAAGCCUGAUGCAGCCAUGCCGCGUGUAUGAAGAAGGCCUUCGGGUUGUAAAGUACUUUCAGCGAGGAGGCGUUACUCGCAGAAGAAGCACCGGCUAACUCCGUGCCAGCAGCCGCGGUAAUAC